AAGUGAAUUUCUUUCAAUAAUUGAGGUUGAUGUUUUAGUAAUAAGACAGAUGAAGUAAAUGCAGGUGAUGUGUGCUGUGAGUGUGUGUUUGUUGGAGACUCAGUUGAUGUGUGUUUGUUCAGUUAGUGAAGCGUUCAGGAGGUUUUUGUUCAGCUGCUCUAUUAGUUUGUAUCACUGUGGUGGACUUUCGGCAGCGGCACCAAACUGGAUGUUGGCAGCGUCACUCGUCCUAAAGUGAGCGUCCUGCCGCCCUCCAGUGCAGAGAUCUCCUCAAA